GAUGGAAUAAAGAAAGGUGUUAUACGUUCGCUUUCUUCUUGCUCUAAUCGCCAUCUUGAACUCCCUUAGAAAUUUCAAUUUGCCGCUUUGACAAAGUACUUUUUAUAUCAGAGCGAUUUUCAUGAAAAAGUAUUAAAAAUGGUACUCACACAAGCAAAAGCAUAGAUCGACAUGCAUUGGCAUCACUGAUCGCCUUUUUCGUCUUUGCUUUUAUCUCUGUUUCGUUGACAAUCGGAGUUAAAAUUAAUUUUUAUUAGAUAAAAUAAAAAAUUCCGCAUUUAGAAUUUUUUUUUUGGAAAAGAAUUGCUCAAAUCGUGUUUUGCUGUUUUGUGUGCCCGUGCAUUCCAUCAACUUGAUCGGCUGCCUCUUGCCAGCAUUGUUUGAAUUACUGCGAAACCAUCGCUGCACUCUUUUCACUUGCUUUGGUUCGCUGCCUGUGUACACCUUGGUGCCAGCUGCGGACUGUGGACCAACUUUUCGUGGCCGUGUGACUCUCGCAUCGUCACAAUGUGUCUUCCGCUUCUCUGUCUGUGGGACCACUGCAUCGUAGGUUUCUUCUGCUGCUCC